ACUCUCCUUGAGCAAGCAGAAAAGGAUAAAUCAAGUCUUGAAUUAGAAUAUAAUGAGAAGCUCAAAGUUAAAGUUGCUGAAAUAUUGGAAGAGAAGACACAAGUAGAGGAGAAGAAACAGAUUAUUACUGAGGAUUAUGAGAAACUUAAAGUCAAAGUUACUGAUUUGACUGAACUAUUGGAAGAGAAGGAGGAACAAUAUCUCAAGGAGAAACACAUCAUUAUUGGUUAGUUAACUAUACACACAGCAUGUAUUAGAUGAGAGAAAAUGUUUAUUGUGUAAAUGACAAUCAAAAUCACAUUUCGGAGAAAGACAAAGUUAUAGCCAAACUGACAUC